AUAGUCCCUAUCUUGUAUGUAACCCGGGGACUGCCUGUACAUUGUCUGGUCUGGGCAAGGGGUGAGACAGAAAAGCUUUCAUGGGGCUACUGAGAACCACGGGAGAGUUUGGGGAGACUGGAGAGGGUUGGUAGCCCCAAAAAUCUGAGUUAUCUUUACACAGGGCCUGUCCCUUCACAUGCAAACCUGCAAGCAAACUCCUCCCAGCACUGCUCACGCUGGGAUACAUGUGGCCAUGCAGAGAAACGCACACAAAUAAUGAGCUACACACAGGCAUGAGCACGAGAGCCGCACGCACGCGCAGGAGCACACAUCCUAAUAGGUACGCAUUCACCCUGAUAGGGAAAAAAACCUUUCCCCUACGCGCACUCGCAGUGGGCGGCCUGAAUUCCCCCGCGACUCGCGCCCUUAUAUGGCUGCCCGGGGCCGGGCCAUGCUCUGGGUAUUUAAGGUCGCAGAGCGGGGCGCUACGCUGCGACUUCGUCCGUGCGCCCAGUUUUGGAGCAACACUGCGCGCACUGUCCGCUCGUGCUGGCCCUGCUGCUCCACUGCGCUGUUAGCCCCGGCCCCGCCCGGCCAUGGUGAACCAGGCGGUGCUGCUCCCGGAGAGCGCAGAGCUCACCAGGCUGCUCCGCGAGCCCGAAGCGACCGGGCGGACGCUGGUGCUGGACUGCUGCCCCUUCCUUGCCUUGUGCCGGGCGCACGUGCGCUGGAGCGGGCUGCUGCGCCGCAGGGCCAGUGGCAGAGCCGGCCCCAGCCUGGACCAGCUGCUUUCGGAUGGGGAGCGCAGGCACGGCUCAGCGGAGGCGAGUUCUCCCGCUUGGUGGUGCUGGACGAGGACAGCGACUCGAUGCAGGUUCUGCGGAUUGAUAGCCUGGCCCGGCUGCUGCUUGGCACCCUGCUGCUGGAGGCCGGAGCCAGCCAUGCGCUCAUCUUCCUGCUGCGAGGAUGGCCCUGUGGAAAUCUUGCCAUUCCUCUACUUGGGCAGCUGCUACCAUUCCUCCAACAAGGAGGUGCUGGAAUCCUAGGGCAUCACCGCCAUGCUCAAUGUCUCUGCCAGCUGCCCCAAUCAUUUUGAAGGGCAGUUUCGUUACAAGAGUAUCCCUGUGGAGGACAGCCACUUGGCUGAGAUCAGUGUCUGGUUCCAGGAGGCCAUUGGCUUUAUUGAUUCAGUGAAGAGCAGCGGUGGGCGAGUGCUAGUGCACUGCCAGGCUGGCAUCUCCCGCUCAGCCACCAUCUGAUCCAAACCCAAAGGGUGUGCCUGGAGGAAGCCUUUGACUUCAUCAAGCAGCGCCAGGGGGUCAUCUCUCCCAACUUUGGCUUCAUGGGACAGCUCCUGCAGUUUGAGACAGAGGUGCUGUGCCAUUAGCAGGCACCACUUGUCCUUUGGAGCACUGGUCAGCACUGUUUCCCUUCCUUUCUAGGACAGACUUGGUGUGUUUCCAUUUACAGCCCCAAAGGGUGCUCCAUCCUGACAGUGUCCCUCAUGUCCAUUGCACUAAGAUGUCACUGGAUACCUCUCUGCAACUUGGCCAGACUCCUCCACCUCCCCGUGUUAAAGCCCACAUCUCUGACCAAAUGCGUUGGACCCUACAAUGCAAAGAAAAGAAGUGAAGAUGGGCAAGAUGCAAGAAAGGAGUGUACUCUGCUUUUUGAGGAGCACUGAGAUUUUAAGGUCAUAUACCCUUUGCCAACCUCCCAGUCUCUCCUAAGUCCUGUCUUAAAAGAACUCAUGGCUGAUCUGUCCCUAUUGCUUUCCUAUUAGGGAUGUAAAAUCUCUUUUAAUUAUCAAAUUAAACAUUAAGUUUAACCAUUUAAGCCCCCUGCCCACCACAGACGGGCUGGAGUGACACCUCCAUGUACACUGCAGAUGGGGACUGUUCUAGCCAGGCAGAAGUCCUCUACCAUCAGUGGGCCCCUUGGGGCUUGAGCAGCUCCCUGCCUACAGUAGGGGGAGGAUUGGGCUGCUCCAGCCCCUGCCAGUUAACCAUAACUAGUAAGCAUCUCUCUUAUUUCCUAUGUGAAGUCAUGGCAGGUAACUUCAGAAUUAUGCCAUCUCCUGUACUCUGUGCUUGAGGGCAAAAUGCUUUGUUGUUUUUGAAUGGCCCUGAUCGUGUUUCCAUUGAGCGGGGUCAGGGUUCAUAUUGGGUAAUUCAGUUCAUUGUCUGAUCUUUUUUGUUUCACAAGCUUGCCCCUUUUCUGCUCCAGGAGGCAGAAGGAAAGAUAAUAGGACAAUAGACCGAAUUUUCUGCUGACAACUUUACUGAAGAACCUGUAAAAAUUUGGUUCCAUUCUUACCACCACAGCAAAAAUAAAUUCCACAGUUUCUCUUUUGAUUUCUUUCUCUUCACCCAAACUUCCAUCCAGAAUCCUCUCUGAUCCAUGCCUCAGAGUUUAAGGCUGAUGGAAUUCUAGGGUUUGAACUGAUUGAGAGAGCAGAAUUUGGUCUGUAGUGACAAAAAGAAGAGUUUGUGUUUUCCUGCCCAGACAUCUUUCCUCAAUUUGAAUCAGCCUGAUUAACCUGAAAAAUCUGACCCAGAGUGACAAACAUAGACUAUGUCUACACUACGGAGUUUUUCUGGAAUCUUGGCAGUAUCCUGGAAAAACUCCGCCAAG